rnacentral:rRNA from 1 species
UACAGAGGGUGCAAGCGUUGUUCGGAAUCACUGGGCGUAAAGCGCACGUAGGCGGCUUUUUAAGUCAGGGGUGAAAUCCUGGAGCUCAACUCCAGAACUGCCUUUGAUACUGAGAAGCUUGAGUCCGGGAGAGGUGAGUGGAACUGCGAGUGUAGAGGUGAAAUUCGUAGAUAUUCGCAAGAACACCAGUGGCGAAGGCGGCUCACUGGCCCGGUACUGACGCUGAGGUGCGAAAGCGUGGGGAGCAAACGGG